rnacentral:rRNA from 1 species
GAUGAACGCUAGCUACAGGCUUAACACAUGCAAGUCGAGGGGCAGCAUGAUUGAAGCUUGCUUCAAUCGAUGGCGACCGGCGCACGGGUGAGUAACACAUAUCCAACCUGCCGAUAACUCGGGGAUAGCCUUUCGAAAGAAAGAUUAAUACCCGAUAGUAUAGUAUUUCCGCAUGGUUUCACUAUUAAAGAACUUCGGUUAUCGAUGGGGAUGCGUUCCAUUAGAUAGUUGGCGGGGUAACGGCCCACCAAGUCAACGAUGGAUAGGGGUUCUGAGAGGAAGGUCCCCCACAUUGGAACUGAGACACGGUCCAAACUCCUACGGGAGGCAGCAGUGAGGAAUAUUGGUCAAUGGACGAGAGUCUGAACCAGCCAAGUAGCGUGAAGGAUGACUGCCCUAUGGGUUGUAAACUUCUUUUAUACGGGAAUAAAGUGGAGUAUGCAUACUCCUUUGUAUGUACCGUAUGAAUAAGGAUCGGCUAACUCCGUG